AUGAUGAGGACCAUGGUAGCCCUGUGCAUUCUUCUGGCCUGCAUCGCCGUUUGCACGUCGUCACCGGCCUGCCGAUGCCUGAACACAGUAGCAGCCGUGAAUCCUUCCCACGUGGUCGAUGUCGUCGAGUACGGUCCUCGCCCCUACUGCAGGAGGCAAGAAGUCAUUGUCAUCCUGAAAAACAAGAGGCCACGCUGCCUUGACCCCAAAGGACAAUUCGCCCAGGGACUACUUUGGGCCAAACGGCGUAUGGAGGAACACGCUGCUCGGUUGAAGAGCAGCAGGUCAGCUAAAACCACAGCAGCAAGAGGAAGCGCAGCUCCGCCCGCUCAAGUGCUGUGAUUUCUGUUUUUGUGUCUUUAUUCGACUGCACAUUACAACAUCUCAACUGGAUUAAGAUUGUAUUUAAGAGUAUUUAAACUGUGAACGUAUUUAAUGAAGCAACAUAUUUAAUCGCUUGUCUUUUUUUUAUACAAUAAAAGUUGAACUGAAUUGAAUCGGUUGUGCAUUUUGUUUGUUUUUCAACAAAAAAAAAUCUUGUUUUUGCUCUUAAUUCAUUUGCUGUUAAUAAGUUCUCUUUUUGAGGGAGCAGACAUGCUCAAAAGCAAAAUUUUUCAUUUAGACAAUAUAUAUUAUGAGUAUAUUAUUAUAGAUUUUGGGUCCCAGACGUGGUCGUGCUCUACAGCGCCACCUAUGCACAGGUUAUGGCAGGAAACCCGCGACAUGGUUUCCACCUGUGUGCCUGAUGUUUGGUGGGGUCAUGUAACAUCCCAGGCUGUCCCAUAAUG
rnacentral:lncRNA from 1 species